CGCUGGCCGGAAUUCGAUGUUGAGGCGUGGGGCAAACCGGCAGGGAUGCCGGUUUAGCCGCCCUAGGCCAUGGAUGGCCGUUGGCGGCGGCGCCACGCAUCAAUGUCGGAUUACGGGCAUGC
rfam:Pseudomonas syringae strain GAW0119 contig45.1, whole genome shotgun sequence.